rnacentral:rRNA from 1 species
GUAGGCGAACCUGCAUAUAUGCAUAUCAAUAAGCCGAGGAAGAUUCCGUAUGCCCACCGGAAGAUCUACACAUCAAUAAGCGGAGUAAGACUCCCUCUGAGCAAAUGUAUAUAUACGCAAAAAAUUUCAAAACGAAUCUCCGGGUUCUGGCAGCGAUCACGAACGCCGAAAAACCGAAUAAGUAAUGCGAAUUGCAGAAUUCAGUAAAUCAUCGAAUCUUUGAACGCACAUUGCGCUCGCCAGUAUUCUGGCGAGCAUGCCUGUUCGAGCGUCAUUUCAACCAUCAAGCUCUGCUUGCGUUGGGGAUCCGCGUCUGACGCGCUCCCUCAAAAACAGUGGCGGGCUCGCUAGUCACACCGAGCGUAGUAACUCUACAUCGCUAUGUUCGUGCGGCGGGUUCUUGCCGUAAAACCCCCAAUUUCUAAGGUUGACCUCGGAUCAGGUAGGAAUACCCGCUGAACUUAAGCAUAUCAAUAGCCG